CCAGAUCGCGCAGCGCACGGCAGCAGCACAACCUUCACUUGGUCGCGCCACCACCGUGCCUACUGCUCCGCUUCUCUCCACGCCGCCAGCCCCAUUUCCGGUUAGUCGCAUUCCGGCAACACUAUAAAAUUGGGUAUUAGGAAGUUGCCGAUCCAACGGAAGCUCUACAAUCUUCUCCGUAGAGUUAUAAAUGUAAACUUUAUAUUUCUGUUAUUUAAAUUUGGAUGUAGUAAUUAUUCUAUUAUUUGAUUAUUAUUGAACUCCGCAGUUAUAGGAUUGUGUAUUUUAAUUAGGCUUGCCGUAUGCGUUCUUUUGGAAUGACAUGUUAUAUAUUAGACGUAGGCAUUUUAGUAUACCCAUAUUCUGAAUAUGACUUAUCAUGAUUAGGCCCAAAUUAAACUUCAAUUGAGAUAUUUAAAUUUUGGGCCAGAUUGUAUAAUAAUUAUAUUUAAACCCUACUGGUAUGGGCUUACUGUUAUUA